CAGAAGACACAGAGAGAGAGAGACAUCAACACACAGAAACAAUUUCUUACCGACUGAAGAAAGAAAGACACAAACAUCUUAGAUGACAAAGGGACAGCAGAUCUUUGCAGUUCUCACGGUAAUUCAAUUUUGAAAGCAUCAUUCAGAAGUUUAGGUUGCUGAGGCUUGAACUGUGAAAAUGGCUUCAACAAAUGCUGAGAAACAAUCAUCAGGACCUGCGGUAUCAUCAUGUAAGGACGUCCUGUACAAAAGGAUCAUCCCUGGUGGACUUAAAGUUGGCAGUGUCAUCAUCAUCCAAGGGUUUAUCCCGCCUCAACCACAUAGGUU